rnacentral:misc_RNA from 1 species
GUUUAAAGGCUCCGAAUCCAAAUCACAAGCUGAAAGCACCUUUCUUAAUUAACAGAAAUACCAAAAGAUUGUGCACAACAAGUCCGCAUAAAUUAAGACUACCCAGAGUGAUGUUUUUGACAGAAAGGACUUAAAUAAUCACAUAGCCAUAAGACAAAUAUAGUGUUAACGCAUAACUUCAUCUUGAGCUGAAAGACUCAAGUAAAACAACCCAGUGGGAAGGGUACAACUUGUUAUGUCGACAAAUUAUGGUCAAGCCCUAUGGGCUCGAGUCACAAACACAACCAGCAGGACCACCACGGAUAGCAGGAAGGAUGUUCUCAGCUUUUCCUCAAAUGGAUCUGCGGCUUCUGUUGUUUUCUUCUCAUUAUUAGGUGCUUUGAACAACUCAUUCAUCAGCUUCGUUAUUUUCUCAAUUGCUUCCGUGAAUUUUGCUUUUGUGUUUUCAAAUAUCCACUUUACAGCAUUCAAAGCAGGACUGGAGUCAUCGCCAGUCUCAUCUGAACUCUCUGUGGUUAGUGAACUAAUCUUUUCUUCUGCACAGUAGGUCUCAUGCAGCUCGCGGACUACCUCAUUGUUCAAAACAGCAUCCCAAACAGCUUUAUCAGUAGACAAUGAGAUGACCAUUCUCUGAACAGAUGGCUCAGUCUGCAAUAAAUGGAAAGCAUCAUAAACACUGUCAGGUCCAUAAGGGCGUAACAUUCUUGAGUUACACAGAUGUGGAGAAGACUCCCCCCAAUCUAAAUCUGACCCAGCUGGAGAAACAUGGUGCAGCAUGCCUGUUGAACUCAAAAUUUGAUCUGCUACAUCUUUGUCCACAUUAUAAGUAAAUUUAUCUGUAAUGGACUGGGGAUGCGAAGCAGCAUCAUAUAUCCUGCAAGUGAAAAUUCCAGAACAGUAGGCUUUUACAUGGGAAAUAUGUAAGCAUCAAGAAACCCAUUCACAAUGUUACAAUUUUAGAAAUCAAGAGGAAAUCAUCUCACUUCAUCUACAUGGAAUUCCCCUCUCAUCAUAACAUAUCACGUUUUUGGGAAGUUCUAUUAUUUCUUUUUCUUUUUUUUUCCACCAACAUUCUCACAUUCAUUGAGCCUAAUUCUCAUUUCUCAAACCAAAACUGCCUUUGUUUAGCUCAUAAAACGAAGUGUCACUGUCAGUAACAACUAAAUGUUCAUUUUCUUGCAGAGUAACGAGGAUUGAAGUAAUUGAGUAAAACCAAAAUUAAGUUAGAAACAUUUAGCAGUUCCCACUGUUCAAAAUUGCAGACAUGCUUAGUAGCAACCGCUGCUCAAAAUCACAUAUUUUCUUUGCCUCUGCUAUUCUACAUAAACCAUAUUCAUUUUCAAGACUUCCUUUGUUGGAAAUAGAAAAUCUAAGGUGAAGAUAACCUGAUAUAUGCAAGUAAACAUCACUGUCGGUCUGUCACCAUCAUUCUCAUUAUAAAAGCAUUGAUUGUAAGAUUAAACUUGAGAUAAUCAUGACUUGCUUUUUAAUUAUGGUAUUUUACUUGUUAGGGUAAGGCAAGAACGUGUCAUACUAUCAGCAUUUUCGUGCAAAACACUCCACCAUCACCAUCCCAAACAGCACCCAAUACAUAACCGCUAGUCCAGCCUCAAAAACAGCAACUAUCUCUAGUAUAGUAGUGAAUAGUAAUUGUCUAGAAUAGCAACAACAUCAAGAACAACGGCAGCAAAUUCUAAAAUAAUCUGUUUUGUUAGUGUGUCUCAAAAUAAGGAAAUUCUUGUCAUGAUGGGUCCAUAUAUAAAAGUGAAACUCAUGUAUUUGUAACUGCAAAGCGAUUCUUUCAUUAUAUUUCAAUUUAUACUCGAUUUAAUAAAAAAAAAUUAAAUUUUUUGCGAUAAAUUUCUUAAUUCUUUAAUUUAUACCAAAAAUCAAAUUAGCUAAAUUUCUUGAUAGACCAAAAUUUAAAAAUAAAAAACUCAAUUUUUGUAUUUUCUUUAUUUAAAUUAAAAUUUUUAGUAAUUUCAACAAAAAGUUGAAAUCAGUAAAUUGAACCUCUUACUUAAUGAAAUUGAGUAUUAACCCGUAAAUUUAUUUUCCCCACAAUAAACUACCCAGAACAAACCAAUCAUAACAGGAAAACAACAAUUUCUUCUAAAGACAACAAAGCAGAAAUAAUAAUAUGUUUAAAUAAUAAAAAUAAAAAAUAGAACCGAAUUUUCUUUCAAUUUUAUCAAAUACGCAGAAAUCGAAGCCAACGAUAGCAAACAUAUAAUUGAACUUCAAAACAAUGGAAUGAAUAAUUUUCUUUAAAAAAGGAGAAAAAUCUCACUGUGUAAGGGCAGAGACAGCGCUAUGAACUUCGUCCCUGGAAGGAACAGGUCCCAGAACAAAAUCAUCACCAACUACAAUUGCAGUAUCCUCUUCACUCCCUUCCACAGAAACCCACUCAUAAUCAUCACAACAAGAACCAGAAGGAGCAAAAGAAGGCCAGCAAGAGGCGUUGGGACCCCCAGAAUUAGCAGAUACUGGAACAUUGCAAGUAAUACCAAAAGGAGACCCAAAAGCUGAAGAUAAGAUAAGAUUAUUAUUACUGGAAGAAUUGAGCCUUUGGGACGACCUAGAAAUGGCAGAAGAAGAAGAAGAAAUGGAUUCUUGGAGGUUGGUUACACCAGCACGAGUAACUGCCCUACCAACCACCUUUAACAUGCUGCCUCCUCCACCGCCCAUGCCUUUGCCUCCACCAAACAUGAAUAUUACUGGGGUGUCGGUAGCUGGGAAUGAAGAUUGCGUAUUGGGGAUUCUUGUAAGUGAAGAAGACUUUUAUGGGCUGAUUGAUAUCUACG